AACGAACGCUGGCGGCAUGCCUAACACAUGCAAGUCGAACGGGACCUUCGGGUCUAGUGGCGCACGGGUGCGUAACGCGUGUGAACCUGCCCUUAGGUUCGGAAUAACUCCCCGAAAGGGGUGCUAAUACCGGAUAAUGUCUUCGGACCAAAGAUUUAUCGCCUUUGGAUGGGCCCGCGUUGGAUUAGCUAGUUGGUAGGGUAAAAGCCUACCAAGGCGACGAUCCAUAGCUGGUCUGAGAGGAUGAUCAGCCACACUGGGACUGAGACACGGCCCAGACUCCUACGGGAGGCAGCAGUGGGGAAUAUUGGACAAUGGGCGAAAGCCUGAUCCAGCAAUGCCGCGUGAGUGAUGAAGGCCUUAGGGUUGUAAAGCUCUUUUACCCGGGAUGAUAAUGACAGUACCGGGAGAAUAAGCUCCGGCUAACUCCGUG
rnacentral:rRNA from 1 species